rnacentral:rRNA from 1 species
AGAGUUUGAUCCUGGCUCAGAUUGAACGCUGGCGGCAGGCCUAACACAUGCAAGUCGAACGGUAACAGGAAGAAGCUUGCUUCUUUGCUGACGAGUGGCGGACGGGUGAGUAAUGUCUGGGAAACUGCCUGAUGGAGGGGGAUAACUACUGGAAACGGUAGCUAAUACCGCAUAACGUCGCAAGACCAAAAAGGGGGACCUUCGGGCCUCUUGCCAUCGGAUGUGCCCAGAUGGGAUUAGCUAGUAGGUGGGGUAACGGCUCACCUAGGCGACGAUCCCUAGCUGGUCUGAGAGGAUGACCAGCCACACUGGAACUGAGACACGGUCCAGACUCCUACGGGAGGCAGCAGUGGGGAAUAUUGCACAAUGGGCGCAAGCCUGAUGCAGCCAUGCCGCGUGUAUGAAGAAGGCUUCGGGUUGUAAAGUACUUUCAGCGGGGAGGAGGGAAUAAAGUUAAUACCUUUGCUCAUUGACGUGUACCCGGCAGAAUGAACGCACGCGCUAACUCCCGUGCCAGGCAGCAGCGGUUAAUACCGAAGGGUGCAAGCGUUUAUCGGAACUACUGGGCGUAAAGCGCAACGCAAGGCGGUUGUUAAGUCAGAUGUGAAAUCCCCCGGGCUCCAACCUGGGAACCUGCAUCUGAUACUGGCAAAGCUGUGAGUCUCGUAGAGGGGGGGGUAGAAUUCCAGGUGUAGCGGUGAAAUGCGUAAAGAUCUGGAGGAAUACCCGGUGGCGAAGGCGGCCCCCCUGGACGAAGACUGACGCUCAGGUGCGAAAGCGUGGGGAGCAAACAGGAUUAGAUACCCUGGUAGUCCACGCCGUAAACGAUGUCGACUUGGAGGUUGUGCCCUUUGAGGCGUGGCUUCCGGAGCUAACGCGUUAAGUCGACCGCCUGGGGAGUACGGCCGCAAGGUUAAAACUCAAAUGAAUUGACGGGGGCCCGCACAAGCGGACUGGAGCAUGAGAGAUUAACUCGAUGCAACGCGAUCAGAUACCUUACCUGGUCAUAACGUCAGUCCACCUGUAAUGUAAAACAAGCACAUCUAUUGAACGGGCCCUUCGGGAACCGUGAGACAGGUGCUGCAUGGCUGUCGUCAGCUCGUGUUGUGAAAUGUUGGGUUAAGUCCCGCAACGAGCGCAACCCUUAUCCCUUGUUGCCAGCGGUCCGGCCGGGAACUCAAAGGAGACUGCCAGUGAUAAACUGGAGGAAGGUGGGGAUGACGUCAAGUCAUCAUGGCCCUUACGACCAGGGCUACACACGUGCUACAAUGGCGCAUACAAAGAGAAGCGACCUCGCGAGAGCAAGCGGACCUCAUAAAGUGCGUCGUAGUCCGGAUUGGAGUCUGCAACUCGACUCCAUGAAGUCGGAAUCGCUAGUAAUCGUGGAUCAGAAUGCCACGGUGAAUACGUUCCCGGGCCUUGUACACACCGCCCGUCACACCAUGGGAGUGGGUUGCAAAAGAAGUAGGUAGCUUAACCUUCGGGAGGGCGCUUACCACUUUGUGAUUCAUGACUGGGGUGAAGUCGUAACAAGGUAGCCGU